rnacentral:rRNA from 1 species
UUGACCUCAAAUCGGGUGAGACUACCCGCUGAACUUAGC